CCUACGGGUGGCAGCAGUGAGGAAUAUUGGUCAAUGGGCGUAAGCCUGAACCAGCCAAGUCGCGUGCAGGAUGAAGGUUCUAUGGGUCGUAAACCUCUUUUAUAAGGGAAUAAAGUGUGGGACGUGUCCUCUUUUGUAUGUACCUUAUGAAUAAGGAUCGGCUAACUCCGUGCCAGCAGCCGCGGUAAUACGGAGGGUCCGAGCGUUAUCCGGAUUUAUUGGGUUUAAAGGGUGCGUAGGCGGCCUUUUAAGUCAGUGGUGAAAGGCUGUGGCUCAACCAUAGAAUUGCCGUUGAAACUGGGGGGCUGGAGUAUGUUGGAGGCAGGCGGAAUGCGUGGUGUAGCGGUGAAAUGCUUAGAUAGCACGCAGAACCCCGAUUGCGAAGGCAGCCUGCCAAGCCAUGACUGACGCUGAGGCACGAAAGCGUGGGGAUCAAACAGGAUUAGAUACCCUUGUAGUC
rnacentral:rRNA from 1 species